rnacentral:rRNA from 1 species
UUCGGAAUUACUGGGUGUAAAGGGUUCGUAGGCGGUGCGGCAAGUUGGGAGUGAAAACUCUGGGCUCAACCCAGAGCCUGCAUCCAAAACUGGAGAGCUAGGGUUCUGGAGGGGAAAGCGGAAUUCCUGGUGUAGCGGUGAAAUGCGUAGAUAUCAGGAGGAACACCGGUGGCGAAGGCGGCUUUCUGGACAGAUACCGACGCUGAGGCACGAAAGCUAGGGGAGCAAACAGG